GAUGAACGCUGGCGGCGUGCUUAACACAUGCAAGUCGAACGGUGAACGAGGGAGCUUGCUCCCUCCGGAUCAGUGGCGAACGGGUGAGUAACACGUGAGCAAUCUGCCCUGGACUCUGGGAUAAGCGUUGGAAACGACGUCUAAUACCGGAUACGAGACGCGAAGGCAUCUUCAGCGUCUGGAAAGAACUUCGGUCCAGGAUGAGCUCGCGCCCUAUCAGGCAGUUGGUGAGGUAAUGGCUCACCAAGCCUACGACGGGUAGCCGGCCUGAGAGGGUGACCGGCCACACUGGGACUGAGACACGGCACAGACUCCUACGGGAGGCAGCAGUGGGGAAUAUUGCACAAUGGGCGCAAGCCUGAUGCAGCAACGACGCGUGAGGGACGACGGCCUUCGGGUUGUAAACCUCUUUUAGCAGGGAAGAAGCGUAAGUGACGGUACCUGCAGAAAAAGCACCGGCUAACUACGUGCCAGCCGCCGCAGUAAAAC
rnacentral:rRNA from 1 species